rnacentral:rRNA from 1 species
UACAGAGGUCUCAAGCGUUGUUCGGAUUCAUUGGGCGUAAAGGGUGUGUAGGUGGCGCGCUAAGUCGGGUGUGAAAUUUCGGAGCUUAACUCCGAAACUGCAUUCGAUACUGGCGUGCUUGAGGACUGGAGAGGAGACUGGAAUUCAUGGUGUAGCAGUGAAAUGCGUAGAGAUCAUGAGGAAGACCAGUGGCGAAGGCGGCUCACUGGACUGGUAUUGACGCUGAGGUGCGAAAGCGUGGGGAGCAAACAGG